rnacentral:rRNA from 1 species
UGGGGAAUAUUGGACAAUGGGGGAAACCCUGAUCCAGCCAUGCCGCGUGAGUGAAGAAGGCCCUAGGGUUGUAAAACUCUUUCAGUGGUGACGAUGAUGACGGUAACCACAGAAGAAGCCCCGGCUAACUCCGUGCCAGCAGCCGCGGUAAUACGGAGGGGGCUAGCGUUGUUCGGAAUUACUGGGCGUAAAGCGCACGUAGGCGGCGUGUAUAGUUAGGGGUGAAAGGCCUGGGCUCAACCUGGGAACUGCCUCUAAUACUGACACGCUAGAAUUCGGGAGAGGGUAGCGGAAUUCCAAGUGUAGAGGUGAAAUUCGUAGAUAUUUGGAAGAACACCGGUGGCGAAGGCGGCUACCUGGACCGAUAUUGACGCUGAGGUGCGAAAGCGUGGGGAGCGAACAGG